ACUCCCAAAGCCUCCAGAAGCAGUAGCUAACCAGGUAAGAGAUGAAGCACAACAAUGUUAUACCCAAUGGGCACUUCAAGAAGCAUUGGCAAAACUAUGUAAGGACUUGGUUCAACCAGCCAGCUAGGAAAACAAGGAGACGUGCUGCUAGACAGCAGAAGGCUGUGAAGAUCUUCCCUAGGCCAACUGCGGGAUCACUUCGACCUAUUGUUCAUGGACAAACACUGAAAUACAACAUGAAAGUCCGGGCUGGGAGGGGAUUUUCUCUUGAAGAACUGAAAGCAGCUGGUAUUCCCAAGAAACUAGCACCAACCAUUGGCAUUGCUGUUGAUCAUCGCCGCAGGAACAGCUAAGCUUGUCAUCUUCCCAAGGCAUGCUAAGAAAGUCAAGGCUGGUGAUUCUAGUGCAGAGGAACUUGCUACUGCCACCCAGGUCCAGGGUUCAUACAUGCCUAUUACUAGGGAGCAGCCAGCUGUUGAUUUUGUCAAGGUCACAGAUGAGAUGAAAUCAUUCAAUGACUAUGGCGAGUUGCAUAUCGAGCGUACAAAUGCGCAACACAUCGGAGCCAGGUUUAAGAGGGCAGCUGAAGUAGGAAAGGAAGAUCAUGCAAAUCUUUUGAUGGUGUUUAUGUUAUAG